rnacentral:rRNA from 1 species
AUGGAUCCGUUCCUUCAGGAGUAUCUCGAGCGGCUCGGCGCCAGGCUCGACGCCUACACCAACGCCGCCAGGUCCCUCGCCGAUAAACUGAACGCCCUUGACGUCAGUUGGGCCACUAGUUCACCCGCCGUCGUCCACGACCCACCAUCAGCUACCACUUCGCCGGAGAGCACAACCAACGCGUCGGCGCCCGUCCCGGACGUCUCCGGCUCCACCACCAAGGCCCAGGAGAUUCCCACGGUCGCCCAUGAUGCAGCCCCGGUGUGCAUCACGAUGGUGCCCGUCACCUCUUCGACGGAGUGCUCGACCCAGGUUGACACCAUCGACAGCGUCGACGAGGUCCAUGACGCUGCUACCACCGUCCACCUCGAGCCCACGGUCGACCCGGUCCACCAAGCAGUUGAGCAGCUCGCUCCGGUGCAGGCAACGGCCUCCAUCGGCACCAACACUCCCUCUUGUGCCGAGGUCGUUUCUCCCGUGACGACCACCACCGACGUCGACCCCAAUGCCGGCAUGCAGGAGCUUGAUGCCCUCUCUGGCGACACCGCCACCCAACUGAUGAGCAAGGCGGACCACGACGUCGCCCUCAUCAUCCGCAGCGACCCUGCUCUGCCGGUGCUGACCAUGUGUUCGACAGACGGUCUACUCCAGGAUGGCGAAUGGCUGAAGCCUGUUCGUCUUGUGGACAUGAGCAAAACCUCGUGCCUGCCGCCGAUACAGCAAGGAAUCGGGCAGCAACCAUGGCCACCACCUGUGCCAGUGAGGAUCAGAUACAUCAGAAACCUGUUCAGACCCAAGCAAUGGUCGUCUUUCAAGUUUCAUUCAGAUACAAGCUAUCAGGAGGAGCCAUGUACAGGUAUACAUUGUCAUCCGCAUGAAUUCAAUUUUGGACUCGGCAGGAAGCUAUACAGAGAUGUGGUUUUCCCUCCGGUUUCUUGUUAUGAGGUGAUUUCCGUGGAAGAGCAUUCCAGUUGUUUGUCAGUUGCACAGUUGCAAUCCAGGCGUCCACCGGAUCAGGCACCACCUGAUGCUAAAGCAUCAAAUGAAUUGGCAUUUCUCAAUGUGGAUAUCUCUGCAAGUUUAAGUGUUGAUGCAUGGUUCAGUCUACUGAGAAAAUGCAUAAGGAAACUCACAGUCUGCUGCGUUAUCUUCUGUGUGCAAUCCUCUUAUGAACUGUGUGCUCAAGAUAUACAACUGAAACUUGGGUUCAGUCAAAAAAAUGUUCAGCUGAAGCUACAAUAUUUUGCCUGCGAUUGUCGAGCAAUGAUGACGCGCUGCUUGGUUUUACUAUCUCCUGCUGACAUUGAUUAUGAGCUGUGGCGUCGACCAAAUCAAACUGAAAAUUGUGGUGUGCUUCUGAAGUUCAGAAUAUUGCAUAUUUUUUUAGCCCCUUCAGUCAACCUGCAACCAUGGCCUUCCUGCAGACUAUCACCGAUUUCUCUAGCUAGCAUAUCUGAACAAUGGAUAUUUAACUAUGACGAACAUGCCGUUGUAUCUAUUAUUCCAUGGCAUGAGAAAUUGCACAGGGCCAUGAAUACCAGGAGAAUGUCAGUGAAUUGGUCAUUUUUGAGUCGAAGGGAAAUUAAGUUUCGAUCUGAAGCGAACUAUCUUGAGGAGCUAUGUUCAAUUUGGUCUGACUGCCACCAUACUGCAAUUAUUUACUUGAGGGAAGAGGGAAUUAUGGAGAGAAAGAUUCCCACCGUGCAAGCACCUUAUAAGGGAGUGGGAAUGCAGGCAACUAGAAGGCUCUGUGUCCCUAGACCACCUGCCAAACCUUCUGAAGAUUAUGACAAGUGCAUCCUUCUUUUCAUAAGAAUGCGGACUAUCACUACAACAUCAUCUCCAAGCUGUGUGCUGACCACGUUGAAGCCACUGUUUGAGAUGCUACAUCUGCCGUUGCAAGGAAACUACGGUGCACUGUUUGAUUCUUCACGUUGUCCUCUGCAUUCACAGCUGGGUAGUUUUUUCUUGCUUAAAUGGUAUCUUCAAAUUACAUUCAUUUCUCUAACGGCACCCCGGGGCCAGUGCAAUUCUGAACAUUUUCAACCUUGGAUCACCAGCACAAAGGUACUAUAUUUCACAGACUUUGCCACCAGAAGUCGAUAUAUGUCCCAGUUACAUUUUCAAGCUUGUCAUAGUAGCAGCCGGACAGUGACUCGGGAAACAUCUUCUCUUGGCACAUUGCAUACACAUGCAAGUUGUAUGGCCUAUCUGAAUCUUAUCAACAUUACUUUGAGGGUGUUCAGAAGCAAUACAUGGGAUGCAGGUGACCUACAAAAAAGCGUACAGUCUUAUAUAUCCUAUAUGGUGCAGCAACUAGUAAGUGUUGAAUACCUUACCUAUGGUCUUGCCCACUGGGAAAUUUAUUUGGAGAAGUUUGCACUGCUGUGGAAGAUGAAGAAACAUGGUUCAAACAAUUCAGUUGUUACUGUCACUUCUUCCUUCAGACAGAGCAGCGACAUUUGUUCUGUUCAGAACGUCCUAUUACUUACCUGGGUUGAUUACUUGGAAGCUUGCUCUGUCCUAGCACAUUUGAAUCUGGAUAUUCAUUGGUGCAAGGGAACAAGCGUUGAGCCCAGUGCACUUGAUGUGUAUCAAGCUGGACAUCGGUCCUAUGAGCUCCAUUCAGAUUAUCAUCUCUUUUAUGCUAUCGAGUUGUUGGGGCCUCACUGGGGCAUCUACCAGCUGGUAACACCUUGGGAUCCUGGACGAAUUGCAUUGUGGCUGUUAUUGAAAUGGACUCGACAAACUAUUAUUCAAGGAGGGUGGGGUGUCAUCGCUGUCACUGUCGGCUUCCUGCAAGGCUCCAUCGACCACAACUGCCCCGGCUUCGACAACGACAACUUUGGCACCUCAUUUGGUUGGGUCGCCACCGGCCACGGCCACCACAACCCGAUCGUUCAAGUCAAGCCCGAUUUCGGCUACCACCACUACUUCAAGGUAGUCAAGGAACAUCGAGUGCAGUGGGAUCCAGGCGGCUCUUGGUGGUUUCGGCUUGGGGGCAAGCCGAAUUUUAAGGAAGGGGGGAUGUUAGGAGCCCUCCUAGCAUGUACGCACAUGGGCUUGCCCACUGGGCCGCUCAUGGACCUGGCCCGCCUGCUACCCCAUCGCUGCAACUACAAGUACCAGAUCGAAGGCAAGGAGCAAACCAUCCAGUGGAUCACGGACCAACCCGGCGGCGGCUACCUUCCUCUUUUCUCCUACCUCUGCUCCCCCAGUUCAUCUGUAACUCAAUUCCUAUAUCAGAUCGUGAGUGUGUGUGAACUAUAA